rnacentral:rRNA from 1 species
UACGUAGGGGGCAAGCGUUGUCCGGAUUUAUUGGGCGUAAAGAGCGUGUAGGCGGUUUGGUAGGUCCGCUGUGAAAACUCGAGGCUCAACCUCGAGACGCCGGUGGAAACCAUCAGACUAGAGUCCGGAAGAGGAGAGUGGAAUUCCUGGUGUAGCGGUGAAAUGCGCAGAUAUCAGGAAGAACACCGGUGGCGAAGGCGGUGGUCUGGGCCGGAACUGACGCUGAGGAGCGAAAGCGUGGGGAGCAAACAGG